rnacentral:miRNA from 1 species
UGACAGCCCGCUACACCUCU